UACGUAGGGUGCAAGCGUUGUCCGGAAUUAUUGGGCGUAAAGAGCUCGUAGGCGGUUUGUCGCGUCGAAUGUGAAAACCCGGGGCUCAACCCCGGGCCUGCAUUCGAUACGGGCAGACUAGAGUUCGGUAGGGGAGUCUGGAAUUCCUGGUGUAGCGGUGAAAUGCGCAGGAUAUCAGGAGGAACACCGGUGGCGAAGGCGGGGUCUCUGGGCCGAUACUGACGCUGAGGAGCGAAAGCGUGGGGAGCGAACAGG
rnacentral:rRNA from 1 species